rnacentral:rRNA from 1 species
UAGGGAAUAUUGCAAAUGGGCGAAAGCCUGAUGUAGCAACGCCGCGUGUGCGAUGAAGGUCUUCGGAUUGUAAAGCACUUUUUGGAGGGAUGAGGAAGGACAGUACCUCCAGAAUAAGCCUCCGCUAACUACGUGCCAGCAGCCGCGGUAACACGUAGGAGGCAAGCGUUAUUCGGAUUUACUGGGCGUAAAGCGCGUGCAGGCGGUUUGGAAAGUUGGAUGUGAAAGCUCCUGGCUCAACUGGGAGAGGUCGUUCAAAACUUCCAGACUUGAGAGUGGUAGAGGGAGGUGGAAUUCCGGGUGUAGUGGUGAAAUGCGUAGAUAUCCGGAGGAACACCAGUGGCGAAAGCGGCCUCCUGGCCCAUUUCUGACGCUCAGACGCGAAAGCUAGGGUAGCAAACGG